rnacentral:sRNA from 1 species
CUAGCCUCACAUAUAUCUCCAUGUCUUUCUCCUGCCUCCUGAGUACUGGGAUUAAAAGUGUGCCCUGCCACUGUUUGAGCAGAAAUCUGUGCCCAGAGACUCCAAUAAACGUGUUGCUGAUACUGUAUGGCCAGUGCCAAACCCAGUGACCCUCAGUCAGCAUCUAGAGCUUUAGGACCGAGUCUUGUGUGUGUUGUCUUGGUGACUGAGAAGAUUUGGAGGGAAUCAGCCAGUUGGUGAAGACACUGGUGAAGACUUAGCUAUCACAUCCCAGCAGACAUUUUCUCAGUUAUACAUUCAUCCCAAAGAACUUAAGGAAGUAGCAAGAUGGUCCAGCUGUCAGAUGGCCUUCAGAGCCUCAGUGUAGUGAGGUUCCAGGCCCAACUGAAAGCACUGUUCGUGGAAAGCCCGCAACGGAAGAAGAAUUCCUGCAUCUUGUAGAACAGGACGGCAAGUACUUCUCAAGUGAGCUGGUGUGCUUGAUACCAUUCAAUCAAAAUGGCAACAGCUUUAAAGAGAAUUUCCCUUUUGGACUGGUGGUUCACUCUUUUGGAAGAACAGGUGAUAGCAGUCAAGACCUGUUCAAAUCUAAGAUUACUCAAACAGCACAAAACUGGAAGAAAGAGAGCAGAAACUGCAGAAAGCACAGACACACACGGGUUGGUUUUCGCCUCGAGUGCUGUUGAAGUUGUGGGUGUUUGUAGUAGAGAUGCGUCACUGGAGCCCAGAGACUGCCUCUGUUAACAGAGAAGCACUCAUCUUCUGUCCUGUCAUUUUGUACUCAGCUGUCUAGCAAACUUCCCAUUGAUAAUUCUAUAGCUGGUCCCCUCAGGUCUGCCAGGAGACGUCUGUAUGAUGUGCUUUAUAGCCUUUAAAGGUGUGGCAAGAAAGCCUCCGGAGCAUCUCACCGUAAGCCAGGCAAGUACUACUGUUCCAGCUUUAUACUAAGUAACCUGCCUUUCUGCUAGGGUUCUCCCCUUCCCUCCGUCUCCGCUCCGUGUAGCUUCGGAGUGUAACCUGUCACGGUUGCAUAUGGCUUGCAAGUGGUAUUGCCAUAAUGGUUGCCACUGGCUGGUCAGUGAGUAAAUCUUGAAGCAACCGGCUCAGAAAUCCCAGUCCCUCCCCUUCAAUCCUCACCACAGUGACUGUAUGGGUGCUGGAUAAGGCUCUGAAAACCAGCAUAGGAGUAAACAAAUGAAGUCCUUGAUGUUUUCCAAACAGUUCUUUCCCCUUUUUCUUCUUGUGAUGGGGAAAGGCUCAGAGAAGUCAAGUCAGCUUUUUCUUUUAAUUUUUAAUUGAUUCUUUGUAAUUUUCACAUUAUGCACCCCCAAUACCACUUAUCUCUCCAUCCCUCCAUAUCUGCUUUCUGCCCUUGCAACCUCCCCACAAAAGAAAACAGAGCAAACAAAAUAAAAGGAACAAAAAGGAGAACAAAAGUUAAAAACCAAUCUCACUAUGGGAGCUGCAGUGGGUCACACAAUCUCUCACAGUACAUCCUUUUGCUCAACAGCUUUACUUGCAAAUGUUCAUUGCAAUGAGUCUGGCUAAGGCCUCUGGCUUCUGCCACACCAUCAGUGGAUCUUCAAUAGAGCUCCUCUUGGAUAUCCCGUUGUUGUUGCCCACACUGACACACCUGGAGACCCUGCAGCUUUGGUUCUGCAGGACUGGCCCCUUCAUGUGUUCCAAUAGUCCAUAAAUGAGGCAGUCAGAGAACCAUGAUGCCCUUCAACACUCUGAAGAUGCUUUCCAGUAAACAACCAACUCAUUACCAUUCAAGUCCUUCCUCCCACAGGAUGCUAAGAAUGCAUGUAUAACUAGUCAGGCCUGUACCACGCUGUCAUACUGAUGUCAUAAUGGUGGCUUCUUAUCCUUUGUUUAAUAGUGUUUUGCUCACUUCUUCAUGAGAGAUCUUAAGAAUGGGCUUCGGCAUCCAUUCAACCAGCACUCUAUAGAGGAGGAUGAGCCUGUUUUCAAGGGAGAUCAAAGCCUUCUCCAUAGCUCUCCUCACUCAAUGGCCCAGUCCUCCCCAGAAUCCCCUCCUGCCAGCCCCUUCAAGGGCAGCUCUCUGUCAAUCUCAAACUCUUCCCUCCACUGUCACCGCAUCCUAGAAUCAGGUCUGCAUUUUGAGAUAUUUGUUUCUACAGGAUCCUUUUUUUUUUUUUUGCAACCAGUUUGUUUUAUUCUGCUGUCAGAAGAAUAAAAGAGUUGUUUAAACA